rnacentral:rRNA from 1 species
GUGAGGAAUAUUGGUCAAUGGGCGGGAGCCUGAACCAGCCAAGUCGCGUGAAGGAAGAAGGAUCUAUGGUUCGUAAACUUCUUUUGCAGGGGAAUAAAGUGCAGGACGUGUCCUGUUUUGUAUGUACCCUGAGAAUAAGGAUCGGCUAACUCCGUGCCAGCAGCCGCGGUAAUACGGAGGAUCCGAGCGUUAUCCGGAUUUAUUGGGUUUAAAGGGUGCGUAGGUGGUUUGAUAAGUCAUCGGUGAAAGUUUGCAGCUUAACUGUAAAAAUGCCGUUGAAACUGUCGGACUUGAGUGUAAAUGAGGUAGGCGGAAUGCGUGGUGUAGCGGUGAAAUGCAUAGAUAUCACGCAGAACUCCGAUUGCGAAGGCAGCUUACUAAGCUACAACUGACACUGAAGCACGAAAGCGUGGGGAUCAAACAGGAUUAGAAACCCGGGUAGUCC